rnacentral:rRNA from 1 species
GGUGCUGCAUGGCUGUCGUCAGCUCGUGUCGUGAGAUGUUCGGUUAAGUCCGCUAACGAGCGCAACCCUCGCUGCGUGUUACAUGUGUCACGCGGGACUGCCGGUCUUAAGCCGGAGGAAGGUGGGGAUGACGUCAAGUCAGCAUGGCCUUUAUACCCUGGGCUACACACACGCUACAAUGGGCAGUACAAUAGGUCGCGAAACCGCGAGGUGGAGCCAAUCCUCAAAGCUGUCCUCAGUUCAGAUCGUAGGCUGCAACUCGCCUGCGUGGAGACGGAGUUGCUAGUAACCGCAGGUCAGCUAUACUGCGGUGAAUACGUUCCCGGGCCUUGUACACACCGCCCGUCACGUCAUGGGAGCUGGCAACACCUGAAGUCGGUGCGCUAACCCGUAAGGGGGGCAGCUGCCGAGGGUGGGACUGGUGACUGGGACG